CCGGACACCCUGGACGAGCCGCACCGGGAUAACAAAGCGGCCCGACCCCCAGCCCCA
rnacentral:ncRNA from 1 species